rfam:Desulfotomaculum aeronauticum DSM 10349 genome assembly, contig: EJ44DRAFT_scaffold00003.3
AGUAACUUAAAAAUAAGUGAUGCAGUAUCCUAGUCAGUAUGGUCUUUCUGAAGGCGGGCCUAAAAAUCCGUCAAGGGCACAUCGAUGAAGUUCCUGGUGCUGGCUUUUGACGCCCAGUUGGGGGCUGGUACUGGGAGUUAAGGGGAAGGGGCGACCUGCAAUGGCAUGUGGGCAUCGACCCCCUCCCCGUGGAGACUCAAGUGCGUGGGGAGCCGGAAACGGCAAACUAUGGCUUGGCUGUUAACCUGCAUGUGGUAGGAAGCUGCGUGCAGUGUAGCCUGACUUGAAGUGGCACUGGUGGAUUCCUCUGGUACAACAGUAGCAUACGGGCCCGUAAGCUACUGUUGUGGGAUGAAACCUUUGCUGCAACAGAGUCUAAGAAAGAUGCGUGCUGUUGAGGAAAACUCCUAGGCUGUUUGGCACACGUCAGGGUGGGUCAGGGAUUAAAGUGUGGACUAAGUGGUAAUCUAGUUCUGAGAGCGGUGACGCCUCAGAUAGGGUUUAAAGGGUAACCGCCGGUUUGGCGACAGCCGGUACCGCUAUGGGAAAACCUGCUAGACCUAAGCCACAACAUUUACCUGACCUGCUAUCACUUAUUUACUUUACCAU